UUCAGGUGUUCGUAUAGAAUGUCUCUUCAUCGUAUUUUAUUGAGAUGUCCAAUGCCUCACACCUUGCUUCUGUGCUAUGUAAUGCUACCUAGGAAGGAUCUUUUUCCAGGAGCAAUAUCCUCCAUGGCUUGAGGAAGAGUCCACUAAAUCGAGUUGCCAUAUUAGGUACAAUUUUCCUUAAAUUGCCUUCACUAUCUCCAGGGCAACUUAACUGCUUUUAGAGGAUAAGGGAGGCAUGGCAGCAGGCACUUCCUUAUCUUCAGGUCACUUGCAUUAUUGCCUUUUAUCUGUUGGAGUUGUAGCCCUGCAGUUUUGCCACACUUUCUACCACUUUAUACAGCUGAAAACCUCAAGUAUAUAGGCCGGAAUAUGUAAUGUGUAAUAAAUAAUAAGCAAAAAAUAAAUUUAAAAAGCCUUCAUACCAAAUGUGGUUUGGAUUGUAGUCUGCAGAAAGCUGUCAUCCAAAGAAGCUUAUGGAAGGUGGACUUCGCACUCCAGGCACCUUGGAAGAUUCACCCAAACUGAAAUUUUCCAUAAACUUCAGUCUAUGAUGAGCAAUGGAGUUUGACAAGGAUUUGCCAGGGAAAGUGUCAUUUUGGAGACUGUUUGCACUGGAUGAGCCCUUUGCUUUCUGUGGCUGCAGAGGUCUAGCAGUAAACGUUUGAAAGAUGGAUUUGUUACACCAUCAGAACAAACUCAGUCAACUGAGCAAAGCUACUUUGUGCAGAAUAUAUCUUACUUCUGACAGCACUCAGCUCUUUCCCUGUUUGCAAACAUCUUCCUGCUGAGACAGAAAGAAGUGCUUUGUCCAUCGGCCUCUCCCUUUUACUUUAAGCUCACAUGGAUCAGCAUUGUACAAAUGUGAGUUUCAACACUGCAGAACUAGAAUUUCCACCAGAAACCCAGAACAUAUAUAUAUAUACAAAUUUCUGAACCAGCUAAGAACUACAUGAAGACACAGUUGAAGAAGUAUUACCAGGAAAUUAUCUUCAGUCAUCCUGAAGAGCAAGAAAAUUUGUGCAGAACUUUUUAGCCAACAGCACUGAAGUUUGUGAAUGAAUGCCAAAAGUCAAACAACAAACAAAAGUAUUAGAAACAAAAAUACAAACUAGCAAUGAUUUAUAAUGUAUUAUUGCUUUGAAAAUAUUAUAUAGGUUAAAAGGAAGAGCUAGUAUGGCUCUUCCUUUGACAUGCAGAUCUGUGUAUGUCAGGAAGCUUUGAAACUGGACCCUGGGCUGAAACUGGUCUGAAACAUGGAAAUUUCAAGUCCUCUUGAAUAUAACAUAUGGAAUAAUUUUUACUGGAUUGUCACAUAUGAUGAAGAAACAAAGACUAGGAUGUAAAGCCAUUGAAAAAAAAGUGGAAAAAUCCACUUGGAUCAUCAAGAUGAGUCUUCUACGUGAAAUGAAGCAAUGUACAUGAGAAACAGUAAGUCCUGCAUCUUUUACAAGACAGGGAACACCUGAACUUUGCUGAAAACUAAAAUAGCUUGUCAGGGAAAAAAUUACCUAGCAGUUCAAACAUGUUAAUCUGCAAGCAAUAAUCUUGGGUAUCCCCAAACCAAAAAUGGCAUCAGAUUAUAAUUCCAUUUUUCCCCCAUUUCCUUAUUUCCACACAAGACUGAAAUGAUUUUAUUGAGCCUUCUCAAAUGGAUAAAGCAGGUCAAUUUUAAAUUCAAACUCCAGACUUGAAGGAGAAUGCCAGGGAUAUAUUUAGAACAAUCAUGUUGUCAGUGAAAGCUUUGGAAGUCUAGCUAAGAAACUGAAGGGAUGGUGCUGUGAUCACAGGAGAAAAAAAAAAAACAAAACAGUCUAGGAUGCAACUGCUUAAAACUUCACACAGUUAUCCACGGACAUAUUUUUAGUACUGUAAGUCACUUAAACCAGUUUUUUCGAGCAACUGUAAAUUACAUUAAUACCUUUCAGGCUUUGUGUUGUUUAUUAAAUGCAGUGUCCAGGGGUUCAGUUAAAUGAAUAGCUCAGUGAACUUUCUCAGCUCUUUAGUUAAAACACCCAGAAACUUUCUACACAUGAAUCAUCACGUUGGAUUUACUGAACCCUGAGGUAUGUGCAUAUACCCGUUGCUGCACUAGCCACAUUAUUCCCUGUGGGAUCUCUUUUUCCUGUAAUCUUAUAAUUACUAAGGACUACUCCAUUAGUCACUUAAGAGGUAAUUUUAAGAGAUAAUUUUCUUACAAAUAUGUAUCAGUAAGGCAGCCAAAAGGAACUUUCCAUUUCCACUAGUCCUGAGAACAAGCACUGUCCCCAAUAUUUCUAGUAGCAUAUAUUCAACAGUUAGACCAAGGGGCAAACACCCAACACAGAGUUUAUUAUUCUACUUAUAUUUUACAGUUUUUAGAUUUUCAAAGCACUUGGGCAAAGCCUAUUUGGCCAUUAUUUGUGGGAGGGUGUACAUCUCUACUGUUUCCUGUGCUAGACUGUGUCUGAAGGUACAGAUUUUGAUGUACUGAAGUUUAUCAUACAGUUUAGUAGCAUGCUUUAGUAACAUUGACAAUUGGGUGUUUGUCCUGGACAUUUUUCACUGACCUGAUAAGACUAGGAAUGGAUCUCUCUCAAAUGGCUUCCUCACUUGUUGAUCUCCCUUCUGCUCUUAUUUCCACCUAAAGAUAGAAAAAUCAAGAAAUUUACCAAAAGAGGGGUAACAUAUCAAAGGAAUAUCUAAAAUUCCUGUAAAUGGAUAAAAUUCCCAAGGAAUAAAUGGUACCUGAGUAACCAGAGUUAUGACAAACUAGAAAAAGCCACAGGAGAGUACAGUGUCAUACUGUCCUGGUUUCAGCUAGGAUAGAGUUAACUGUCUUCUUGGUAGCUGGUACAGUUUUGACUUCAGCAUGAGAAUAAUGUUGAUAGCACACUAAUGUUUGAGUUCCUGAGCGAUGUUUACCCAAAGUCAAGGACCUUUCAGUGUCUCAUGUUUUGCCAGUGAGCAGGUGCACAAGAAGCUGGGAGGAGCAUAGUCAGGACAGCUGACCUAAGGUGUCCAAGGGGAUAUUCCAUACUCAGAACAGCAUGCUCAGUAUAUGAGCUGGGGGAGCUGGCCAGGAGCUGCUGAUCCCUGCUCAAGGAUGGGCUGGGCAUCAGGCAGCAGAUGGCGAGCAAUUGUAUUGCUCAUCACUUGUUUCUCUUGGGAUUUAUUCCUCUCUGUCUCCUUUUCAUUACUACUAUUACUGUU